UACCUCAUCGACGGAAGGAAUCCCUUCCGUCAAUGAGGGUGUUAUACCUCAUCGACGGAAGGAAUCCCUUCCGGCCGAUGAGGUA
rnacentral:miRNA from 1 species